rnacentral:sRNA from 1 species
ACAUAGCCCCGAUUGUAGUGGAAAUCCUUUUUUGAAAAAAAAGAUUGCAACGGAAAGCGGGUUGGACA